rnacentral:rRNA from 1 species
UGAGCAAUCUGCCCUUCUCAUCGGAAUAAGCGUUGGAAACGACGUCUAAUGCCGAAUACGACCUCCUUUCGCAUGAUCGGAGGUGGAAAGCUCCGGCGGAGAAGGAUGAGCUCGCGGCCUAUCAGCUAGUUGGUGAGGUAAUGGCUCACCAAGGCAUUGACGGGUAGCCGGCCUGAGAGGGUGACCCGGCCACACGUGGGACUGAGACACGGCCCAGACCUCGUACGGGGAGG